rnacentral:rRNA from 1 species
UACGUAGGGGGCAAGCGUUGUCCGGAUUUAUUGGGCGUAAAGAGCGUGUAGGCGGUCAGGUAGGUCGGUUGUGAAAACUGGAGGCUCAACCUUCAGAGGUCGACCGAAACCCCCUGGCUAGAGUCCGGGAGAGGAGAGUGGAAUUCCUGAUGUAGCGGUGAAAUGCGCAGAUAUCAGGAAGAACACCUGUGGCGAAAGCGGCUCUCUGGAACGGUACUGACGCUGAGACGCGAAAGCGUGGGGAGCGAACAGG